CUACGGGGGGCUCCAGUGGGGAAUAUUGCACAAUGGGCGCAAGCCUGAUGCAGCCAUGCCGCGUGUAUGAAGAAGGCCUUCGGGUUGUAAAGUACUUUCAGCGGGGAGGAAGGGAGUAAAGUUAAUACCUUUGCUCUUUGACGUUACCCGCAGAAGAAGCACCGGCUAACUCCGUGCCAGCAGCCGCGGUAAUACGGAGGGUGCAAGCGUUAAUCGGAAUUACUGGGCGUAAAGCGCAUGCAGGCGGUUUGUUAAGUCAGAUGUGAAAUCCCCGGGCUCAACCUGGGAACUGCAUCUGAUACUGGCAAGCUUGAGUCUCGUAGAGGGGGGUAGAAUUCCAGGUGUAGCGGUGAAAUGCGUAGAGAUCUGGAGGAAUACCGGUGGCGAAGGCGGCCCCCUGGACGAAGACUGACGCUCAGGUGCGAAAGCGUGGGGAGCAAACAGGAUUAGAUACCCCAGUAGUC
rnacentral:rRNA from 1 species